CUUGGUAGGGUGCAAUGUGGUGUUUAGGAGAUGCCAUUCGCACCUUGAGCUCUGGUGUCCAAGUCCCCCUGACUGGGGCCAUCGCCCGUUGAGGGUGCAAGGCCUGUUGGGCAGGGCUGAGUCUCCUGAUCUCGGUGCGUAAGGCAUCUUCCUUGGAGUCGGGUUGCUUGAGAGUGCAGCCCAAAGUGGGUGGUAAACUCCACCUAAGGCUAAAUACUUGCCACGAGACCGAUAGCAAACAAGUACCGUGAGGGAAAGUUGCAAAGAACUUUGAAGAGAGAGUUCAAGAGUGCGUGAAACCGUUUGGAGGUAAACGGGUGGGAGCGCGAAGGUCGAACGGAUGGGGAGGGAUUCAACUUGGCGAGGUAGCUUACCAGGUGCUGGCAUGUCUGGGUGUGCACAUCCUCUUUUCUUCGAGAUUGGGGUUUGUUUGCCAUCCCGUGCUGCUGCCUGUGUGAUGUUUGCCCUGCCUUGUGCAUUUCCCUGUUCCCCCUCUCCUACUACGACGCUGCCACCUGUUGUUGAUGGGAUCACAAGAGCUUAAGUUAGAGAAACUGCUCACACGAGUAAGGGAUUAGUUCUCUGCGUCUGGUCUGUCUGUCUAUGUAAAGAUGAUUGUCGCUGACUGUUACGCCAGAGGAUGUUUAGUAGCCGAGCCGAGCCGUAUUGGUCCCUAGUCCUUUAACGUUCCCUAUAUCAGCCGGUGCGGGUCGACAAAUCCCCACGGGUGGCGGCGUGUGUCUUCAUACCUGUUGUAAUGAUUGCGUGUGAAGACUCCGCGUGUCAGGGUCUGUCGGUCAAGGUGCAGCCUCCGGUAAGGGGCACCGGGGGUCAGCAGCGACGUAUGGUC
rnacentral:rRNA from 1 species